rnacentral:rRNA from 1 species
UACGGAGGGUGCAAGCGUUAAUCGGAAUUACUGGGCGUAAAGCGUGCGCAGGCGGUUUUGUAAGCCAGAUGUGAAAGCCCCGGGCUUAACCUGGGAAUGGCAUUUGGGACUGCAAGGCUUGAGUGCGGCAGAGGAGACUGGAAUUCCUGGUGUAGCAGUGAAAUGCGUAGAUAUCAGGAGGAAUACCGAUGGCGAAGGCAGGUCUCUGGGCUGACACUGACGCUCAUGCACGAAAGCGUGGGGAGCAAACAGG